rnacentral:rRNA from 1 species
UGGGGAAUCUUGCACAAUGGGCGGAAGCCUGAUGCAGCGACGCCGCGUGGGGGAUGACGGCCUUCGGGUUGUAAACUCCUUUCGCCAGGGACGAAGCCGUGAGGUGACGGUACCUGGAUAAGAAGCACCGGCUAACUACGUGCCAGCAGCCGCGGUAAUACGUAGGGUGCGAGCGUUGUCCGGAAUUACUGGGCGUAAAGAGCUCGUAGGUGGUUUGUCGCGUCGUCUGUGAAAUUCCGGGGCUUAACUCCGGGCGUGCAGGCGAUACGGGCAUAACUUGGGUGCUGUAGGGGAGACUGGAAUUCCUGGUGUAGCGGUGAAAUGCGCAGAUAUCAGGAGGAACACCGAUGGCGAAGGCAGGUCUCUGGGCAGUAACUGACGCGGAGGAGCGAAAGCAUGGGUAGCGAACAGG